CCUACGGGAGGCAGCAGUAGGGAAUAUUGCUCAAUGGGGGAAACCCUGAAGCAGCAACGCCGCGUGGGGGAUGAAGGUUUUCGGAGUGUAAACCCCUUUUGGCAGGGAAGAUAAUGACGGUACCUAAGGAAGAAGCACCGGCUAACUACGUGCAAGCAGCCGCGGUAAUACGGAGGGUGCAAGCGUUACCCGGAAUUACUGGGGGUAAAGGGCGCGUAGGCGGGAUAGCAAGUCCGGUGUGAAAGCCGAGGGCUUAACCACCGUACUGCAUUUGAAACUGUCCCUCUGGAGUGUAGGAGAGGUAAGUGGAAUUCUUGGUGUAGCGGUGAAAUGCGUAGAGAUCACGAGGAAUACUAGUUGCGAAGGCGGCCUGCUGGAACGUAACUGACGCUGAUGCUCGAAAGCGUGGGGAGCAAACAGGAUUAGAUACCCGUGUAGUC
rnacentral:rRNA from 1 species